rnacentral:rRNA from 1 species
GAUGAACGCUGGCGGCGUGCCUAAUACAUGCAAGUCGAGCGAAGCGGGGACGGGUGAGUAACACGUGGAUAACCUCCUAUAAGACUGGGAUAACUUCGGGAAACCGGAGCUAAAACGGAUACUUAUCGAUGGAUCCUCGCGGCACUGGCUAGUUGGUAAGGUAACGGCUUACCAGGGAAAAGAUGCAUAGCCGACCUGAGAGUGGGAGGGGCCACACUGGAACUGAGACACGGUCCAGACUCCUACGGGAGGAAGCAGUGGGGAUUCUUCCGCAAUGGGCGAAAGCCUGACGGAGCAACGCCGCGUGAGGGAUGAGGGUCUUCGGAUCGUAAACCUCUGUUAUUAGGGAAGCGGUACCUAAUCAGAAAGCCACGGCUAACUACGUGCCAGCAGCCGCGGUAAUUC